AUUGAACGCUGGCGGCAGGCUUAACACAUGCAAGUCGAGCGAGCGGCGGACGGGUGAGUAAUGUCUGGGAAACUGCCUGAUGGCGGGGGAUAACUACUGGAAACGGUAGCUAAUACCGCAUACCAUCAUAUGUGCCCAGCUGGGAUUAGCUAGUCGGUGGGGUAAUGGCUCACCUAGGCGACGAUCCCUAGCUGGUCUGCGAGGAUGACCAGCCACACUGGAAGUGAGACACGGUCCAGACGCAGACGUGAGGCAGCAGGGGGGAAUAUUGCACAAGGGGCGAAAGCCUGAUGUAGCAAGGCCGAGUGUGUGAAGAAGGCCUGCGGGUGGUAAAGAACUUUCAGAGAGGAGGCGUUACUCGCAGAAGAAGCACCGGCUAACUCCGUGCCAGCAGCCGCGGUAAUUC
rnacentral:rRNA from 1 species